UCUUUUCUUUGCUGGCGACCGGCGCACGGGUGAGUAACACGUAUCCAACCUGCCCUUUACUCGGGGAUAGCCUUUCGAAAGAAAGAUUAAUACCCGAUAGCAUAAUGAUUCCGCAUGGUUUCAUUAUUAAAGGAUUCCGGUAAAGGAUGGGGAUGCGUUCCAUUAGGUUGUUGGUGAGGUAACGGCUCACCAAGCCUUCGAUGGAUAGGGGUUCUGAGAGGAAGGUCCCCCACAUUGGAACUGAGACACGGUCCAA
rnacentral:rRNA from 1 species